ACAUUCGCAUCUGUUUGACGCUGUUUGACGCAAAAACUGCUGACAUCUGCGUUGCCUGACCAGACGGUUCAGUGUAACACUGGGGCCGGCUCGACUGCUUAAUAAAAUCCAAAUCGCCUCGCAUACAAAAAUAUUUUGUAUUUUAUUUAAUGGCAGCCAAAGUCACAGCCAGUGAUAAGAGCGAGGGCCAGGAGCCUACCUCCAAGGCAGAGAAAGUACCCCCCACGACCAAAUCGAACAGGAUGCCAAGGAAACUGAUGCAGAGUCAAGUGAGCCGGCCAAAAGAGAUGCCGCCGCCGGUGGUCGCAAACGCAAACGGCAUUUGUACAAUUCGAUUCGCAGCCAAAUGGAGUUUUAUUUUGGCGAUGCGAAUCUGACUAAAGAUCGCUUCCUGCGGCGCUAUGUGGACCAGGAUCCUUAUGUUCCCCUGGAGAUCUUUCUCACGUUCAACAAAAUGAAGCCCCUCGCCGAGGAUGUAAAGCAGAUAGCCAAGGCAUUAAACAACUCCCAGCUGCUGGAGUUGGAUGAGAGCGCCCUGAAGGUACGCCGCAAGACCAAGAUGCCCGACCAGCGCGACGUCAAUGACAAGACGCUGUAUGUGGAGGCCCUGCCGGCUGAAGGCUGAAGGAAGUCUUCAGUCGCUAUGGCCCUGUGGCCUAUGUAUCGCUGCCUCACUACCCAGGCACCAAGAAGAUCAAGGAGUUUGCCUUCAUCGAGUUCGAACGCAGCAGUGCCCUGGAGAAGGCGGUAAAAGCCUUUGCCCAGGUCCAGGGUGUCCUAUCCCUUGACACAGACCCAGCCGUUUUGGCUAGCGUUCGCUCAUUUCAGCAGCAACAACAGCAGGCCAAAAAUGUUGAUGCAUCGCAGGAGGAUGCCAACAAGCGGGGUCGCAAGAGAGACCUUGCCUCGUGCAGGGCCAAGGAGGAAGAUCAGCAUGACAUUAAGCGUCUCAAGCUGGAACACCAGCCUAGCGAGACGACAAAGAGUGUGUG
rnacentral:misc_RNA from 1 species